AUUGAACGCUGGCGGAAUGCUUUACACAUGCAAGUCGAACGGCAGCACGGGGCAACCUGGUGGCGAGUGGCGAACGGGUGAGUAAUACAUCGGAACGUGCCCAAUCGUGGGGGAUAACGUAGCGAAAGCUACGCUAAUACCGCAUACGAUCUACGGAUGAAAGCGGGGGGUCGGAAGACCACGCGCGAAUGGAGCGGCCGGUGGCAGAAUAGGUAGUUGGUGGGGUAAAGGCUCACCAAGCCGACGAUCUGUAGCUGGUCUGAGAGGACGACCAGCCACACUGGGACUGAGACACGGCCCAGACUCCUACGGGAGGCAGCAGUGGGGAAUUUUGGACAAUGGGCGCAAGCCUGAUCCAGCCAUUCCGCGUGCAGGAUGGAGGCCUUCGGGUUGUAAACUGCUUUUGUACGGAACGAAAAGGCUCUGGUUAAUACCCGGGGCUCAUGACGGUACCGUAAGAAUAAGCACCGGCUAACUACGUGCCAGCCGCCGCCGUAA
rnacentral:rRNA from 1 species